ensembl:lncRNA
AUGCUACCUCCACCCGCACCCCCGUCCCGCUGCGCCCUCGGACUGUUGGGUUUGACACCAAAAUCUCCCCCAGGCUUCCAUGGUGCACACGACCGAGACCAUCCGGAUCCGCUACUUCAUGGACCUGCUGAUGGAGAAGCAGUGGCCGGUGAUGCUGGUGGGGAACGCAGGGAUGGGGAAAUCGGUCAUGAUGGGGGACAAGCUGGAGGCGCUCAGCACGGACGAGUACCUGGUGCAGUCCGUGCCCUUCAACUUCUACACCACCUCGGCCAUGCUGCAGGCCAUUCUCGAGAAGCCCCUGGAGAAGAAGUCGGGGAGGAACUACGGCCCCCCCGGCACCCGGCGGCUCGUCUACUUCAUCGACGACAUGAACAUGCCGGAGGUGGACAAGUACGGCACCGUGGCCCCGCACACGCUCAUCCGGCAGCACAUGGACCAUGGGCACUGGUAGGUGCGCGGUGGCGGUGGCACCAUCCCCGGUGCGGGGCCGCGUCCCCCAAAACCCCAGCUUGGCACGCGCAGCGGGGCCAGUCCCCAAUCCGGGUGCAUCAGCAUGGAGCCCAUCCCGCGGCCACGGUCUGUGCCACGCUCCUGCCCCGGCGCGGUGGCAUUGCCGCUGCCGUGAGCGCGGGCAGAGCGACGUGUCCUGGCACGCGGAUGCUGGUGCCUCUCCUGUCCCCGCAGCACCGGAGCCGUCUCCCUGCCCGUGCUGCCUCCUGCGGAAAAGCACCAGCUCUGCGUCCCGCUGCCGGGAACAGCAGGUCCGGGCUGCAGGAAUCCUCCCCUUUCACUCCAGCUGACUCCUUCCAGGAGCUGCUGGGAAAGGCUUUGGCACAGAAAUGGGGAAACUCUCCUCGCGGUUCCCAAACGUGCGGAUCAGUCCAAAGCAAACAGCCCUGGCUCCGGCACCGAGGCUUGGCCGGGGAAGCCCUGGCGAGGGGGAUUUCUGCUCUGGGCAGAGCAGCUUGUGGGGGCACCGCGGAGCGCGGUGCAGACGACACAGGGCUCUCCUUGGAGGGAGGAAGAGCCCGACAAGUCCCGUCGGCCGCAGCAAGUGUUACGGGCCGUGGGGACGGGAUGGUCCUGGUGCCACGAGCAGCACCCGGAGCAGCAGCACCAGGCUCCUCCAAGCACCUGGGACAUGGGGCGUCCCCCCCCAACCCGCGCUGAGGGCAAAGCCUGUCCGGGGGGACACGGCCCGUGGACAGCCUGUCCCUCCACCUGGCGCAGGUACGACAGGAACAAGCUGACCCUGAAGGACAUUCACAACUGCCAGUACGUGGCUUGCAUGAACCCCACCGCCGGGUCCUUCACCAUCGACUCGCGGCUGCAGGUACGCGGGGACGAGGCGCCAGGGAGCCGGGCAGCGCCGUGCCGCCGGCUCCGGCAAACGGCUCCCGCGCGCCGGGCGGCUGAGCGCGGGCUCUUUGCUGCAGCGACACUUCUGCGUCUUUGCGGUGAGCUUUCCCGGGCAAGAAGCGCUCCUGACCAUUUACAGCACCAUCCUCGCCCAGCACCUGGCUCAGCACAAGAUGCCGCUGGCUGUCCGGAAGCUGCAGGCCCAGCUGAUCGCGGCCGCCCUGGGUGAGCCCUCGUCACACGCGGGGGGGGUGGAAAGGCAGCAAACGGCGGCUUUCGGCACCCACAUGCGCUGCACAGGACCCCGGCCAGCACAGUGCAAACCAAAGCCGUGCCGAACCGUCACCGCCCCAGGAAGCUCCGUGCAGCACCUCGGGUCACCGCGCUGCGCAGAGGAAACCCCCGUUCCUCCCUUUCUCCAAUUUAUAUUCAAACUGCAGUCCACUGCACCUGGGAAUGGUCAAACUAAAAUUUCAGAUUCGGUUCAGUCCGCCCAAGUUCAGAGGGAAACGGGCAGAGCAAGGCGCAGGGACCCCGCGCUGAGCGCGGCGGUCUCCGCCACCCGCCUGCCCGCUCACCCCCUGUCUCCCGCGAGCAGCCCUGCACCAGAAGGUCACCUCCACCUUCCUGCCGACCGCCAUCAAGUUCCACUACCUCUUCAACCUCCGCGACCUCUCCAACAUUUUCCAGGUACCGGCGGGGGGGAUUUCCUUUAAAACGCACCUGUGCCUUUCUUUCCUUUGUGCCACGUCCUUGCAGCGUACCGUCUCCUUGAGAUGCACCGGGACCUUUUCCCAAAGCCAGCGCUUUA